rnacentral:lncRNA from 1 species
CCACACCGCCUCGGCAGAAAGAAAAACCAGGAUCCCGUGUGCGCCAGGGUCGCAGGGCUUGCCCUUGGCUCGGGCUGAUGACAGCAGGCGGUUGCCAAGCGUGGCCCUGCGGAGCCUGGCUAAGCCCCGGGUUCCCAGGGCGGGUCGGUGUGGCAUCUGACCUGGGGGCAGAACAUUUUGAUGGGAGUGACAGAGGAAGCUGCUCCCUUAUCAUGGCUAUGAAACAAAAGAGAGCAAGAAAGAGACAGGAUUACCAGUAUCUCCUUCAGUUCAGUCCUGUGGCAAACACCAAAUACGAUUCAGCAGCUCCAGACCAGUCCUCUAGGCAGGCAGACACCAGGGACAAACCAGCAGCUGCAGCCCAGUCCUUUCAGCAAGCAGACACCAGGCAUGAACCAGCAGAUGUAGUUCAAUCCUGAAGAAACCACUAGACUCAUCAAAUGUCCCAAAGCAAGGCCCCAGAAGUCACAUGCUGCUGCAGGAACCACACAAGAAGUUUUUGGGUGGAAAUGGAGAUUAGCCACUGAAAGGAUAAACCCGCAAAAGGACUCUAUCUGUCAUGUUCGUGUGCACUUGGCUCCAGUGCAGGCCCAUUGAAGAAUUGGGCUAUGCACACAGAGCCCUGCACUGGCCUCUGCAUCCCUCCAACCCUCCCAACCGCGAUUUUACUUUUCUUUUAUGUGUGUGUGUGUGUGUGUGUGUGUGUGUGUGUGUGAGAGAGAGAGAGAGAGAGAGAGAGAGAGAGAGAGAGAGAGAGAGAGAGCAUGUGUGUGUGCCCACAGAGGCCAGAAGAGGAGCAUGGGUGCUUUGAACAGUACCCUAGUCCUUCAUAAGAACUUAACUGUUAACUUAAAUUUUAACUGUUGAGCAGUCUCCCGAGAUCUGCUCACAGUAUUUUAAGGUGAGCACUUAAAACACUUUCACUUUCUUUCCUUCACCAAGGAAUGUUUCAGAUCUUUCUCUUGGCUCCAACUUCAGUGCUCACCCGACCUUAAUCUUUAUGGGUGAUUUUCUUACCUCAUUCCACUCUUCCCCCUUACCUCCCACUACACACCUAAACACUCUGCCACCAGAACGACUUCUCUUCCCACUCAGAGAUCAUCUGUGAGGUAAAGUGUCCACUCUCUCUGCCAGGACAUACUUUCCCAUGGUUCAUUUCUGUGACCCUGGCCUCUGUACUGUUGUCACUGGGUACAGUGCCCUUCAGGAAGACAUGAAGCUGACUGUCUCUUCAGGAUGUGUAGGUAGAUUGGAGAUAUAUAAGUCUCUCCCAGCAGGCUGCCGCAGUUUAAUGUGUGGUACAGAAAAGGCCAAGCCCUCUGGGCUGAGUGGGGCUUAGAGCUCUCUUGUGGCCUUUUUCUUUGCCAGAGGCAUUUUUUGCAGUCCUAAGAGCUCACCUCUCUGCAGGUCAGCAUGGUACCAACAUUGACUGUGAGAUCACCCCCAGAGGGCAUGUGUAAGAGGUAAAACUGACUGUUCUCAAAGGUGCUUUGAGCCAACUUAGUUCUAGCUUCAAAAAAUAGGAAACACCAAGCCUCUGCCACUGUCUUCUCUAGUUAUUCCCCACCCAAACUAGAAGUCGAGAGCAGAAACUUACAGCCAAGAUUUCUUGCAUGUGAUGAGGAUGUAAAAAUGAAAGCAUACCGUUCUUCUUGGGAAAAAGACAAACAGAAGGGUCAGAGGGAGAGGUAAGAUCGAGAUGGUGUGUAAGAUGUCUGUCCUGACUACUAGGAGAGGGAGAAAGGGCCCACAUUGGAGUUAUAAAUUCUGUGCUUGGCACACUUGACAUUCCAGGCUGAUGCCCAACUUGGCAAAGGCAUCCACCGCUCUGUCCCUGGGGCUCUUAUUAUGAAGUGAGGAUCACCAUUUCUCACACUUGUAUGGUAGGAGUGGAUUCAACCCAGCUCUGUUCUGCUGGGCUUCAGAGGAUCUUCAUCCAGUGACACUGAUUCCUGUCACCAAAAAGAGGCAGCCAACUCCGUCUGAUGUGCUCAGUGGAGCAUUCUGUGGGCUUCCCUCACGUCCCCGUCACACUUUCUCCAUUUCUAUAACUGUUGAAUGUACCUAAAUAGUGAACUUUCUAACUCUAAUUCUUGACCCAGAUCACUUCUCCUUUGUUCCUUUCCCGACUGAGUCUCACUGGGCACAUUAACCACAGAGGCUAAGCCUCAUGCCCAGUAGCAGAUGGUCAAAAAAACCGAACUUGAUGAUAAUAUUUUUGGAGAUAUUUUUAUCUCAAAUUGCUUUGUUCAGCCACCUUUUGUCUUAUUAGUCCUUUGCUUGUGUAUAUUUUGGCUUCUGUGUGUGUGUGUUUCUGUUUUUUGUUUUGUUGUUUUGUUUUUUUAAGGGGGGGGGUAGGUAAAGAGGUGGGGAUGACCUGGGAGGAUUUCGGGGAGGGGAGAAUAUCAUCAGACUAUAUUCUAAGAAACACACAGGUAGAUGGAAUGAGAGGGUGGAUCUGAAAAGAGUUGAGGGAAGUGACUGAGAAUGACCAAAACACUAUACAAAAUUUCCAAGAAUUAUAAAUAAAGAAUUUAUAAAAAGAAACU